GGGGGCGUAGGGGGGCGUAGGGGCCAGGUGACCUUUCGGCGUCCAUCUCCCUCCCUCAAUCCUCAUCCAUGAUUCCAGUUGCCCAUUUGCGCGCUGCGAGAUUCCAGAUCCAACACCUGCCAAACCCUGUCCUGAUCGUGCCCGGGCAAAGCACAAAACAUGUCAAGCUCCCAGCCAAGAAACCCAAAGCAUUUCCUUCCAGUCCCCCAGCUGCUUGCUGUGUGUCCGUUGUGACUUGUGAGCUGCUGCUAGUGGCUCAGUGCCGAACCCCAACGCGGCUGCACAGAUGUUGUGAUCAUAUUCGAUGUGUCUUUCAGCAUCUAUCUGGGGUAAAGCCCUGCUGAAAGACUUCGAGUGAGGGAUGGCUGACUACCUGAAAGAACUUUCUUUGCUCUUCGCGACAGUUAUACUGGUGUCCAUCGGCUGUUAGAUCGCCGGCUCAUCAUGUCGCUGUCGAUGAUUCAGAAGUGUGAUCAUGUGUCUCCUUUACUUCGCCUGUGGUGAUGCAAAGAGUGGGAGGGGACAAAUUAAAGCUAGGCGAUGGUAUCACGAGAUUUCGUUUGAAUUACUGUGGCAGUUUACCUUCUCAUGAGCUGCAAACAUGAGAAGAUACAAUGCAAUGGCAUUUCCUUCUUGUGUAUGUGCAUCUCCCAACAGAAGAAAAGGUCAGAAAAGGCAUGAUGGGACUUGGUUAAAGUGCAUACGGGAGGAGGAUCAGGGGGAAACAGUGGUUCAGUUCAAAACAACUCAACACAAAUACGAAAUCUAAGAUAUUCCCUAUCUCUUUCAGCAAUCAGUGGCAACAGCAUCCUAUACUGGGAGCUAUACCUUUCAUGCUUUGAUCGGUGGAUAAUCUUCUGGUGCUUUUCUUCACGAAGAGAAACUCUUCAUGCAGUUGUGUUCUUCGGACAUCUGAAUUCUUUGUAACAUUUCUAUGAUAGGCAUGCCCGUAAAAGGAAUGGUUCGGUGCAA